rnacentral:rRNA from 1 species
UACGAAGGGGGCUAGCGUUGUUCGGAAUUACUGGGCGUAAAGCGCACGUAGGCGGAUUGUUAAGUUAGGGGUGAAAUCCCGGGGCUCAACCCGGAACUGCCUUUAAUACUGGCAAUCUCGAGUCCGAGAGAGGUGAGUGGAAUUCCGAGUGUAGAGGUGAAAUUCGUAGAUAUUCGCAAGAACACCAGUGGCGAAGGCGGCUCACUGGCCCGGUACUGACGCUGAGGUGCGAAAGCGUGGGAGCAAACAGG